rnacentral:lncRNA from 1 species
AGAAGUCCACAAGUGUGUACAUACUAGUUGCCUAGGCGUUCCUGGGCGAUUAUGCUUUUUUUCAAUUGUUAAGUGUAAUUCGAUGUUACAUAGUAAAACUUGGCACAUUAAAAGAAUUAACUUGGUAUCAUCAUGCAUCCAUGAGCUCUAUGACCAUAGCUCGUCUUCCUUUUAUCUCUGGUGUGUGCUGAAUUCAUACAUAGAUCAAACCCCAAGCCACCCUUAGCGAAAUAACGCCUAGGUGCUAGGUGAGGGGAGGUGAUGAGUGUCUAGGUGCAACCGACGUCUAUGACGGCUUUUUGAGGCAGAGGAUGUUGAUGGUGAUGUUUCAAGUUUCAACAGUUCAUCUCGUUCUGCAUUCACUCACCAUGGCAGAUAGCCAGAAUUACUGUUUCUAGCCUUCUACUGGCAGAUUGCAAGUAGCAAGCUUGCUGCAGAUUCUUCGCAGGCCAAGGCUCAAGUUACUGAUGCAGUUUUGUUCAGGCAUGUUCGAUAAAUGUUUGUUCACUCAUCAUGGCAGUCCAAGCCUCAAGUUAUAUCCCCAUAGGCAUAGGAGUCCAGCUUCCAGGUGUUCCAUUUUCAGCUUUCAAGUUCAUCUUAUUCUGCAUUGAGUCACCAUGGUAGAUUACCAGAAUAUUGUUUCCGAACUUCUGGCAUAUCUCUUGAUGUUGUCGGAUUCCAUUCAUGAUCCAGGUCAUGGUGAACUUGAUGUUUUCGGACUCAGGUCAUGAGUUCAGACUAUUCAGCACGGAUCGUACAGCCCCUUUGCAUGCCUUGCUGAGUCUUGGCAGGCCAUAGCUGAAGUUACUGGAUACUGAUGUGGCUUUGUUCAGGCAUGAACUGCACGGACCUUGG